rnacentral:rRNA from 1 species
CCUACGGGAGGCAGCAGUGGGGAAUAUUGGGCAAUGGGCGCAAGCCUGACCCAGCAAUGCCGCGUGAAGGAAGAAGGCUUUCGGGUUGUAAACUUCUUUGACAGGGGAAGAGCAGAAGACGGUACCCUGAAAACAAGCCACGGCUAACUACGUACCAGCAGCCGCGGUAAUACGUAGGUGGCAAGCGUUGUCCGGAUUUACUGGGUGUAAAGGGCGUGUAGCCGGGAAGGCAAGUCAGAUGUGAAAUCUGGAGGCUCAACCUCCAAAUUGCAUUUGAAACUGUUUAUCUUGAGUACUGGAGAGGAAGGCGGAAUUCCUGGUGUAGCGGUGAAAUGCGUAGAUAUAAGGAGGAACACCAGUGGCGAAGGCGGUCUGCUGGACAGCAACUGACGGUGAGGCGCGAAAGCGUGGGGAGCAAACAGGAUUAGAUACCCUUGUAGUC